UACGUAGGGGGCGAGCGCUGUCCGGAAUGACUGGGCGUAAAGGGAGUGUAGGCGGCUGUGCAAGUUAGAUGUGAAAUCCCAUGGCUUAACCAUGGAACUGCAUCUAAAACUGCAUAGCUGGAGUGCAGGAGAGGUGAGUGGAAUUCCUAGUGUAGCGGUGGAAUGCGUAGAUAUUAGGAGGAACACCAGAGGCGAAGGCGACUCACUGGACUGUAACUGACGCUGAGGCUCGAAAGCGUGGGGAGCAAACAGG
rnacentral:rRNA from 1 species